ensembl:lncRNA
UUUGUUGUAAUUUUUUUAUUGCACACCUUUAUCAUUUAGCUAACAGAUGUUCACAGCAACAAUGCAAUAGGAGAAAACAGAACAGAAGCGUAUCACUGCGGCACUGCAGCCUCUUAGGUCUUCCAAUAUAUUUAUAGAUAUUUACAGUGACAAUAUGAAAAUCGCAAGUACAACGCCCAGGGCUGAGUUAACCCUUUAACUGCUGCUGUAUGAAGGGAGGAGAAGGCUGAGUUGGUAGAGCAACUCCAGGGUUGUGGGUUCGAUUCCCACGGAGGACCAGUACAAAAAAGUAUGCAAAAAUGUAUGCACUCACUACUGUAAGUCACUCUGGAUAAGAGCGUCUGCUAAAUGACUCAAACGUAAAUGUAGAAUGUAACUCUUUCAACUUAGUCUGAGGAUCCAGGUCACACAGGCUGUAGUGUGAACUCUAUGUAGUUGUUGUCCUGUUCGUAUGGCCACCUGAAACAUUCAGUACACCCAACAUUCCACAGGCACCAGGUUAGCCAUACGUAGCCAGAUUCUAGGGGCUAUUGGUGGAAUAUAGAACGCCUGUAUAGAGCUCAACGCUUCCUGCAAUCAAAGACAGCUUUUCAGAUCAUAAAAUGGACAUAACAGUAAAUAGUACCAAAACAUCAUUAGUACCAAAACAUAAUUAGUACCAAAACAUAAUUAGUACCAAAACAUAAUUAGUACCAAAACAUAAUUAGUACCAAAACAUAAUUAGUACCAAAACAUAAUUAGUACCAAAACAUAAUUAGUACCAAAACAUAAUUAGUACCAAAACAUAAUUAGUACCAAAACAUAAUUAGUACAAAAACAUAAUUAGUACCAAAACAUAAAGAGAAAUGUUUCAAAAAAAGAAAAACCUUAGAACAUACCCCUUAUUUCCACAUCCAUGUUUAAAUGUUAUGACACGUCAAUAAAUGGUAUGUUCAUUUGGAAAAGCGUUGAACAAUACAACAGGAACAUUGUGUGUGACUGUGUAGCCUGGAUUGUAACAGGAAACUGCAUUUGACAUUUGUUUGGUGUUGUAAUGGUAACUUUAGUUGGUAUAAAAGAUGAAUGGCAUGACAACGGGGUAGUGCAUCUGACUUGUGUACUGGUAUACACUGUAAUCACAGUUCCAACCUCUUUACAUCCACAUGGAUAGAGACUAGACUAUUUCUCCCAAAUAAUCAUUUCGGUGUUACUGACGUCAACUUGAGGCUGCGUGAAGUGUGAGCAAAACUGGUGAGAGAUUGUUGGUAAUAAAAUAAUCUCAUGUGGGGAUAAAGCAAAGAGAUCAUGUAUUUUGGGGGGAAAACAGUAAAAAUCUCUCAUUUGUUACAUGAUAUGCAGAUACAUGGGGAUUUUUACCAAGACCUCGAAGGCCUAUUAAAUGAAUAGUGUCAGAUUGAUAUUCUCUUAUGGCAGUAUUUACAUAGUCCAGUAUUAUUAUUAUUAUUUGAAUGAAUCCCAAAUGGCACCCUAUUCCAUAUAUAGUGCACUACUUUUGACCAGAGCCCUAUGGGGUUAGGAUGUCAUUUGGGAGGUACCCUUUGUAUCCACAUCCUGUAAGCCAGGACUGCCAUGCCAGCUGAGACCAGAACAGAUAGGCUCAGCUAACGUGAGAUCUCUGAGACCAGAACAGAUAGGCUCAGCUAACGUGAGAUCUCUGAGACCAGAACAGAGGCUCAGCUAACGUGAGAUCUCUGAGACCAGAACAGAGGCUCAGCUAACGUGAGAUCUCUGAGACCAGAACAGAUAGGCUCAGCUAACGUGAGAUCUCUGAGACCAGAACAGAUAGGCUCAGCUAACGUGAGAUCUCUGAGACCAGAACAGAUAGGCUCAGCUAACGUGAGAUCUCUGAGACCAGAACAGAUAGGCUCAGCUAACGUGAGAUCUCUGAGA